UCGAGCACUGUUUGGAAAACAAGUCAGAGUGCUUUAGAGCUUCCGUAUACUUCACAGGCAACUGAUGCCAGAGACAAACUCAAUUAAAGGAGAGAAACAUUUGUUUUUUAUACAAGGAAGAAUGGUUUCAACUUUUUGGACAAUUCUCUUUAUAUAAGGAGCAUGAAUCCCUCUGAACUACUACAACAUCCUAGUAAGGACCAAGUGCCUUCCCAAGUUGUCCAGACUGGUUUGAGAAAGAGAAAUCUGGCACAGGAUACAUUGGAGCCAGACAGUCUGGUUGGCUCGCGUGUUUUUCUACAUUACGAGUUGACAGCUCAUCCCUAAAGGAGACUUUUUGCGGUUCAUGAAGAGGAUUGGGUUAGUUUUUAUAAAAUAUUAGAGAUUGGUUUCAAAUUCAUUUUUCCAGGUAUAUUAGAGAUUGGUUUCAAAUUCAUUUUGCCGGGUAUGGAAGGGUGAAGGCGAAAAGGUUGUUGUGGAAAAAAUGCUUUCAUGGGUAUCUGGUGGACCACUUGGCUAAAACGAAAUGGUAGAAUCUUCAAUGGAGUUGCAUUUUCCCAUGAUAGUUAUGAAACCUAAAAGCCCACUGCCUUUGCCCCAGAGGCUAACAAAGUUUCCCCUAAAAGACACCUUGUCCUUUUCCUGUUUUCUUCUCCGACAGUUACAAAAAAUCUUUUCAAAAAAUCUUUUCAAAAAAUCCUCAUACAACCACCAAAUGCAAACAUUAAGAACUCAAAUGAUAUGCAUAUGGUCUUGUCUGGUGCCCUAAAAUCUACGCUUUUCUGGAAAGGGAAGUUGGAACUGGAUAUUUCCAGAAAUGAUGCGUGGUCUGGAUUGGGAAACACAGAAGAUUACAAAAAGCUAUCAAACACCUGAAGUCCCAAAUUGCAAAAAGUCAAUCAAUGUAAUGAACCAUGCACAACUUACUCCAGUUGAAUGGAAAAACUGGACUCAUGAGGCGGCUGCAUAGUAUGAUAGUAUGACUAAUCCAACAUAUCAUCUAAAUGUCUACUGCAUCCAUAUAGCAUAUAUACCUCUAUAUCAUCGACCAAAUUCUUAUAAAGAGCACAGUUCCUAUCAUGGCAAUGGGCAACAGAAGAAACAAAAAUGUUUUUAGUUCUCACAAUGGCUCUCAAAGUAGGGUCCUCAGAUCAAAUAUGAACACAAAAUCCAAGAUGAUAGAAAGGUGAUCAAGGCUUGUCAUAAGUACCGAGAGCAAACUCCUGGACUGGAUAAUGCAUGCAUCAAAAGAAGUUCCAUUAAAAAAUAGUUCGUUUCUCUUGAUAGGUACAAACAGAAGGUUGUU